rnacentral:rRNA from 1 species
AUGCCGCUUCUCCAUCCAUCUCCACCUCCCCAGCUCCCUCCCUCCAUUCCUCCCUCGCUCCCUCCCUUGAGCGCGGCCGCCCAAGCCUACUUCGCCACUGCAAGCUACGAUGAGGAUGGUGGCUUCCUGAAACAACGACCACGGCCACUGCGCGGCGAGCUGCAACGACGACGCCCGCGGCCGCCGGUUGUGGGGACUACUGGCGCCAGAAGUUGCAACCUCGUCGUGGGGAGCUGCAACCGGCAACGCCGGGAGCUACAACCUCCUGUUGGCGGAGCACCAGGGCUCCCCGGUCACCACGGUCCUCAUCGAUUCUUUGCUACAGCCAGUGUCAAAAAUUGCUACAACCGGUCAUGCUGCAACCCACGGCUAUGUCCUUUGCAUCUCCGGCGACCCCCUGCCUCAAUUAAAUCUCUACACUGGUUGUAUUGUUCUAAAUUGCCGUUUCCAGCUUUUGAAAAUGUUGCCGGUUGCAACUCGCCGGCCAUCGUAUUUCUUGCUACACCGCUCGCCUGGAGCGCACGCACAGGGGCAGGGAGGAGGAAGAUUGGCUGCCGGGUGGGGGCCGAUUUUUCUGGAAGCUUUGACCAGAGGAAGAAGAACGAGUCGGGGUUGAGUGCCAGAUCGGACGGUCCCUGCUCGCUACAUCGGGCGGCUGGCGUUCGACAGGCCCAACAGUUGGGCCGUAGACUUGGGAGAGCUAAUCUCAACUGUCGAAUUACCAAGCAAAUGGUGCGCAACCACAUCAUGCUCUUCCUCCUCCUCCUUGCUAUGCUACUAACUUCCGGGAGAGACCCGUUCCCGUCGGCCGUGUCCGCGUCACCGGUGGGAUCAGUGGAACCGUUCCAGAAGUGCACGGUCUGCACCGGCGGCCUGUACGAGCCCAACAGCACGUACAGGUCCAACCUGGAGGCCCUUGGUGCGGCGCUCGUCGCCGGGGCCGGCGCGAACGGCGGCUUCGCCGAGGCGAGCAUCGGCGUGGCACCCGACGCCGUCUACGGCCUGGCGCUGUGCCGAGGCGACUACGCCGGGCCCAACUGCACCGGCAGCCUCGCCGCCGCCUUCAGCGAUGCGGCCGAGCUGUACUGUUCAUCCAGAAGAGACGCGACCGUUUACUACGACAACUACACGCUCCGCUUCUCCGGCGAGGAUUUCCUCUCCACCCUCACGGAGCAGCCGAGAUGCUCCGGGUGGAGCGACUCCGGCGAGUCCGGCUGGGACGCCGCCCAGCUGCUCGCGGAGAGGGUCGAGGAGCUGAUGAAGGAGACCAUCAAGCACGCGGCGGCGACGGCUAAGCGGUACGGGACCGGCAAGGCGUGGGUCAGAGGCAGAACAGAGGCCGCGGACAUGGAGUACGUGCUGGCGCAGUGCACGCCCGACCUCACGGAGGCCGACUGCUGGAGCUGCCUCAACGACACCCGCAGCAAGCUGCAGACGUCGUCCAUGCACGACAAGGUCCCAACAAGCCAGUAUGGGGGGAGGCUCGUUGGAGUGCGGUGUAGCUUGCGGUACGAGAGGGUGCUCUUCUUCCAGGAAACGAGCAGCACGCUCGAGCUCCACAAGCCUAGAGGUAUGUACGACACUAGUAGACAGUCGUCGCCUGAAAAAAAGUUCAGUUCAGUUCAGUCAAAUCAAUUUGUACCGGUUGACCAAAAUCCGCGGUACUGCUGUUUGUCCUUCUCGUCUAGCCGCGAUUUCUUCGAGCCCCUCUGCACCUUCCUCCUGAGCCCGCGCCGGCGACGGAGCGGUCCAUGCUCGGGCUCGCCGUUUGUCUCCUUCGUCGGACCGUUGGCGCCGCGGCGCAACUCCAACGGGCUGCGUAGUGCAUUGCAUGGCUAUUUAAGUCAUCUGGCGGCACCGAAACCCUACCAUAUAUCCACAUUUUCCUUCUCCUAUCCGUCGUCGCCACUUUCCACUCCACCCGUCGGCCUAGUAGCCAUGCCCCUCGGCCGCCGGGUUAGGAGCGAGCCAUUUCUAACGCUGGAGCGCCGGCACGAGCUCCUUGAGCAUAUCCGGGCUAGGCGUGAAGCCCGGAUCACCGCGGGGCUACCUUCGGAUGCAGUGGAUCCAGAGGAGGAGUUGGAGGAGGUGGAGGUAAAGGACUUUGAGGAGGAGGGGGAUGAGCCGGAGGAGCAGGAUGUGGGGGACGCUGGCGACGGGGAUCUGCAGGCGGAGCAGUAG